rnacentral:misc_RNA from 1 species
UCUGUCAUGGCUAUCAUGGAGUCCCUUUCCAUCAUCCUUUCUUCUUCACCACCCAUCCAGAACCACUCCAAAACCCUCAAAUUCUCCACCUCUAAACCCUAUUCUCAUCAAACCUGUUUCCUAUCUGCAAAAAAUUCUUCUCUUCAAAACCAUCUGUUACGUCUCAGAAACUGUGUCUUAUCCAAAACUUCUGUCUCUUUGUCUACAUUUCAGCUUAUCACUUCUCUUCCUUCCUUAGCUUCUGAAGCUUUAAUCACCCCAACUGAACAAGUCUCUGACAAAAUAAACUUGGAAUCGAUCUUAGUCUCAAUUGAUGACUUCUUCAACAGAAACCCCUUUUUUGUUGCUGGGUGUACAUUCAUUUGGCUGGUCGUUAUCCCUCUAACUGAACAGUACUUGAGGAAAUACAAGUUUAUCUCUGCCAUUGAUGCAUUUCGAAAACUGCGACAAGAGAAGGAUUAUCAGCUUUUGGAUAUCAGGGACAAGAAGAGUUUGGUGGCUUUGAGGUCUCCCAAUUUAAAGAUUUUGAAUAAGAGUGUGGUUCAGGUUGAGUUCUCCAAGGAAGAUGAAGAUGGGUUUGUGAAGAACGUGUUAGAGAAGUUUCCAGACCCAGCAAACACCGUCUUAUGCAUUCUGGACAAUUUUGAUGGUAAUUCAAUGAGAGUGGCAGAGUUAUUGUUCAAGAAUGGAUUCAAAGAGGCUUAUGCAAUAAGGGGCGGGGUCAGAGGCAAAAAGGGUUGGAUGGCAAUACAAGAAACUCUUUUGCCACCUUCGGUUCAUAUUUAUCUCAAGAAGAAGAAGUCUAAAAGCUCACAACUGGGAAUUAAUGGAGGAGUUGGUCAGCAGAGUGAAGAAAAGAAUGGCAGUCCCUCUACUAUGGCUCUAUCCAUAGCGGAAAGCCAAAGAGUAGAAAAUGUACACAUAAACCAGUUGUUGAAUUCCACACCUCAAUUGAAGAUUGAUUCCCGAUCUCCCUACCCUAAUGUACACACUCUCUUUCUCUCUCUCUCAUGUUUGUGUUGAAUAAGGCUGAUAAUUCAUCUUUGGAAUGGAAAGUUGACUCUCCAGAAGUUUUUUGUGGGCUUGCUAAGGUGUAAUUUUCGUGUUCUAGCUAUUUGCAUGACUUCAUGAAUCAUACAUUAUAUGGCGUAAUGUUUGAAUGUAGGAGGGAAUCCAAGAAAGAGUGGGUUUAUAAAAGGUACCUUGGCAAAGAAACUUAGAAUGACAAGUCAUUUCCAUAUCUAGAUUAAUAUGAUAGUAAUAAGUAAUUGCUGAUAUGUUGAUUAAUAUUGCAACCUUAUAUGAAGUGUGUAUAUAUCUCAACAAUUCCUGAUGGUAGUGCCAUAUAGAUAAUUAGACAUUCCAAUGAUUUCCUCUAUAAAUGAAAUGAAAACGAAGCGGAAGGAUUGAUGAUUUGAAACGUUUGAUGUCUUUGUUCCUGUAAAAAGCAUGGUAAGCAGUCGCAGUGACUGUCACUCGGAAGCAUGUUUAUUACUGCAAUUUGCACAUGGAUGAAACUUGAAGAAACAAAUGCUAACAUUUUUUUUUUAUUUAUAAUUUUUUAUGCAGUACCCAGAUUUGAAACCUCCAUCUUCUCCAACCCCAUCAAAACCAUAAAGAAUUGCUCCAAGUCUACUGUAUUGAAGUAUCUUCUUUGGCUUGAAGCUUGUACCUUUCCAUGGUGCAGCUUUUUAUUACUGUGUAUUGUUAUUGAUUUAUUU